AGCUUGUCCGGGUCCACGGCACGCGACGUGAGCAGGUAGUCGCGCAUCACGAUCCCGUGCCGGCCCUC
rnacentral:sRNA from 1 species